rnacentral:rRNA from 1 species
AUUGAACGCUGGCGGCAUGCUUUACACAUGCAAGUCGAACGGUAACAGGCCUUCGGGUGCUGACGAGUGGCGAACGGGUGAGUAAUGCAUCGGAACGUGCCCAGAGGUGGGGGAUAACGCAGCGAAAGCUGUGCUAAUACCGCAUGUGAUCUGAGGAUGAAAGCGGGGGACCAGGCAGCAAUGUUUGGCCUCGCGCCUUUGGAGCGGCCGAUGUCAGAUUAGGUAGUUGGUGGGGUAAGGGCCUACCAAGCCGACGAUCUGUAGCUGGUCUGAGAGGACGACCAGCCACACUGGGACUGAGACACGGCCCAGACUCCCACGGGAGGCAGCAGUGGGGAAUUUUGGACAAUGGGCGCAAGCCUGAUCCAGCAAUGCCGCGUGCGGGAAGAAGGCCUUCGGGUUGUAAACCGCUUUUGUACGGAACGAAAAGGCUCUGGCUAAUACCUGGGGCUGAUGACGGUACCGUAAGAAUAAGCACCGGCUAACUACGUG